UACGGAGGGGGCUAGCGUUGUUCGGAAUUACUGGGCGUAAAGCGCGCGUAGGCGGACCUGCAAGUCGGGGGUGAAAGCCCGAGGCUCAACCUCGGAACUGCCUUCGAUACUGCGGGUCUCGAGUCCGGGAGAGGUGAGUGGAAUUCCUAGUGUAGAGGUGAAAUUCGUAGAUAUUGGGAGGAACACCAGUGGCGAAGGCGACUUUCUGGCCUGUUCUUGACGCUGAGGCGCGAAAGCUAGGGGAGCAAACGGG
rnacentral:rRNA from 1 species